CUGCUCAUUCCCGGACAUAUUUUUGCGAAUAUCUGGAGAACCAAGGUGACGAAACCCGUCAACGGCACGUUUUAUCGCUGUCGCAUCGAAUUCAUGCAAGGAUAUGCAGCACAUUGAAAUUCUACGAGUGACCUGAACAGGGAACGAAGGGAGCGAGGUAAGAAAGAGACAACGAAAUAAGAAGAAAGAGGAAAAAUCUUGGGAUCUCUCGGCUGUAAAAGAUCCAGAUACAUAGUCUUCGAAAUCGAUACGCUGUGAAUGCUUUGUUGCUAGAUCGUUCUCAAAAGUUUUCUAUUCGAAUACCAUCGUUUUUGUGAAUCUUCGAUUUCAUAAAUAGUUUCUGCAAGUGCAAUGUAUACGCGAUUGAAGAGAUGCAGCCGAUUCCAGUGUAGAAAGAAUGUGUGUACGCAAUUUCACUGUGGUAGCUUUAUGGAAUGCAGGAUUGUAUCGCACGAAUGUCAACCAAAACCUUUCCGAGACAUACCAGGACCCAAAUCUUUACCUAUUAUUGGAACACUGUACAAAUAUUUACCGAUAAUUGGCGAGUACAAUUUUACUAAACUAUAUGGUAGCGGAGUCAAGAAAUUAAAACGAUUUGGGCCGUUAGUCCGUGAAGAAAUCGUACCCAACGUAAAUGUUGUAUGGGUUUAUCGACCAGAAGAUAUAGCUGAGAUUUUCAGAGCAGAAUCCGGUUUACAUCCAGAAAGGAGAAGUCACUUAGCUCUUUUAAAAUACAGAAAAGAUCGAGCAGAUGUGUACAGUACAGGAGGCCUGUUACCCACGAAUGGACCAGAAUGGUGGAGAUUACGAAAAGAAUUUCAAAAAGUUACAAGCAAACCUCAAAAUAUAAUAAAUUACAUAGAGGAAACAGAUCAUGUUGUCCAAGAAUUUGUUGCAUUAUGUAACAGAGAAAAAUUUGAAGACCUAUUACCAAUUUUAUCACGUUUAUUUCUUGAAUUGACAUGUUUAGUUGUCUUUGAUGUAAAGCUGAACAGUUUCUCAGAAGAAGAAAGACAUAAAUAUUCAAGGAGUUCUAAAUUGAUUGAAGCUGCUGUCACGACAAACAAUGCAAUUUUAAAGCUGGAUAAUGGUCUACAAUUAUGGAAGUUUUUCGAAACACCUUUAUAUCGGAAAUUGCGUAAAGCACAGUCAUAUAUGGAAUCAGUUGCAUUAGAACUUGUAUCCCAAAAAAAGGAUAAGGAUGCUCGGCGAAACAAAUCAUUUCUAAGUGCUUAUUUUGAAAAUUCUGCUUUGGAUAUCAAGGACAUUGUGGGCAUGGCUUGUGACAUGCUACUUGCUGGUGUAGAUACUACCACCUACAGCACUGCAUUUAUCUUGUAUCAUCUUGCAAAGAAUCAAGAUAUUCAGCAGAAAUUGAGAGCCGAAGCUAUAGAAUUACUACCUCAACCUAAUCAACCGAUAACAGCAGAUGUUCUACGCAGUGCAUCAUAUACGAAAGCUGUUAUAAAAGAAGGUUUAAGAUUAAAUCCUAUUUCUGUUGGAAUAGGCCGCAUCUUACAAACUGAUAUCGUUCUUAGUGGUUAUCGAGUACCUAAAGGAAGUGUGGUUGUGACACAAAAUCAGAUUAUUUGUAGACUUCCUGAAUAUUUUUAUAAUCCAAACUCAUUUAUACCAGAAAGAUGGCUUCGUGAAAACUCAGAAAGUAAAAUAAGUUGUGGAAAACCUAUACACCCAUACAUAUUGCUACCAUUUGGUCAUGGUCCUCGCUCUUGCAUAGCUAGGCGUUUUGCUGAACAAAACAUGCAAGUACUGCUAUUAAGAGUAAGUAUCUAUUCUCUUUUAAAAUAAAUUAUGAUUAUGAAUUCUGUAUGCAGUACUAUAUAUAUUAUAAUAUAUUAUAAAGUUAGCAGCAAGUAAACUGUAAUUUAAGAGACAUGUUACUUAUAACGAAUUUGAAACAUUUAAACAAUGAUAUCUACAGUUAUCUAUAGUUAUAGUAUCUAUAGUAUGUUAUCCAAAAAGAAAAAUACGCUACCAAAUGAGGAGGGUACACUCCAAAACGAAUAGUUCUUAAUUUUCGUAGUGGUUGAGUCGUAUAGUGUAUUACAUGUAGAAGUCCAAUCAGAAGGUACAUUUGACAAACCUCCCCAGUCAUAAAUGGACCAGUCGCUGUCUUCUUUAAAUUGCUGCAUAUAGCGCAUGGUCUUUGCCAUUACAACCAGUGUUCCAUCAAUCCUACUGGCGUAGGUAGCUUCGAAUUGUAAUUUCUUUGAAUCAUGCUGUGGGACAUUUGGUUCAAAUUGGGUAGUCGUUACAGCCUGAACUAACGAGCCUUCUUCUCCAUCCGGGAGAGGCUCAAGCUUUACCUUGCUCCCGUUCAAUAUCAUCUGUAUGCCGCUCAUCAAUCCAGAAAUGAACGGUAUCGCAGGAUAAGCAUUUAGAUCAUCGUUAUCAUCUGACACUCCACAACGUGAUAACCAUUCUGCUUGGUGCGUAGUUAAUUUUCUGGCUUCACGAUAUCCGAGAAGACUCCGCGUAGGCAUGCCUCUUUUGAUGUCAUUGGGAACCAUGUCGUCGGGCAGGUCCCACGCAGAACUCAACUCCUCAUUAUUUGUGUAUUGGAGAUCAAAUUGUAUUCUACGCAGAUAAACUGCUAAGCAUGGGUAGGCUGCAUACAAAUAAUGUGUGUUAGGUCCUACUUGACCGAACCAGCCAACGCUGCCGUCCGCUGUCGACUUCAGGUAUUGACGACGUUUUGCACGUAUUCGCAUUUCUUGCCCUGUCUCUAAUGUUGUGUUGCCAAACCCUUUUAAAUAUAAAGAUAUUAUGGUUGGAGGCUGAAAACGUCUGCAAUAAACUUUUCGUAUGAAAUCUGUUUCUUCAUGUGUAAUUGGUUCGCCUGAUAUAUAAAGUGUUUUAAGCAGGCGGGCAUAAGCCAAGACAGCCACAUAAUAAACAAACGCGGAUUCCGGAACCAUCUGUGCAAAACUCGUUUGUCCUGCAAGCAUUUCAUAUGUCGAUUCGGUUAUGUCUGGCAAGGCGUAAAAACCUGGAAAGUGCACUAAUUCCGGAGGAAUUGGCAUAACACAUUUCGUGUCAGGCAAAAGCGGCAGUGCAUCUAUAUACAAUGGAUCAUCUUCAGGCUCUCGGUGUAUAUUCUUGUGUUCAGACAUGAAGAAUAGAAGUAUUCUUCCCUUUUCAAGUAUCCCUAUUCAAAAAAAAUAAAGUGGGAUAAAUGGUAAUAUAACUAUAGUUAUAUAAUAUAAUAUAUAAUAUAUCAAUGUUUAAUAAAUUAUGUAUGUAUAAUUAAAAAUUUGUUUAAAUAUUUUUUUAUGUUGUCUUAAAUAUGAGAAUUUUAUUGAAUAGUAUUUAACAAAUAAAAUAAUACUAUUUAUCGUUAUACUAUUAAGAUAAGUUAUUAAACUAAAAUUAAAUUCUUUUAUCACACAUAGAACAAUAAGUAGUGAAAGAUCUGUCUACUUAUUUUCAGUGAUAGAAAAAUGCAUUCAACUGGUUUCAUUUACAAGAGACUUAAUCUGAUGUCAGUAGUUUUUUCUGAGCAGAAACGUAGAUCAACUUCGUUUUUAUAAAUGGAAUAAUAUGUUUUCUUUAAUUACUUUAUAAUAGAGCGUUUUAAAAUGCAUGCAGUGACCUAUAGUUAAAUGUUAUUCAAAAAUAGUUGGAGGCCAACUACAGUGAGAAAUAAUAAUUUAUUUCAAGGAACUAUUUGAAUAUUUUCGCACACUUUAUGGUUGUAAACUGGAAAAAAAUAUUUAAUUCUCCUUCAUACCUUUUUAUAGUCAUAAAUAUUAUAUUACUUCGCAAUAUGUUAUCAACCAAAGAAUGACUCAAAUUUCUGAUCCCAAUACUUUAAAAUGUCUUAGUCAGAGAUAGAGAAAGUUUAUUUUGUACUCAUAACAGUUAUCAUUAAAUUAUGAAAGAAGUACCUAUAUUUCUAUGAAAAUUAGACACAAUUGAUCUAAAUGAAAUUCUAUAUUAUUUAUAUCAGAAUAAAAUGGAAUAGAACGUCACAACCAUUUUAAAUACUUGUAUUAGCAGUGCAUGUAUAAACAAAUAAAUAAACAAAGUUGACUACUGAACCACUUCAUUGUAUAUGUUGAAGUGCUCUAUAUGAAGAUAUGCAGCCAACUUCAAUUUUCCUGGCAUGGUGAUGAACUUGGAAUGAUAUCUUUGUUAAUAAACAAACCUGAUGGCCCAAUGAAACUUCAAUUUUGUAAUAUAUUAAACACAGAUUCUAAUACUACUUGAAACAGUAAAAAGAAA